rnacentral:ribozyme from 1 species
UGCUUACCAAUUCCUAUCCAUACCUCCUCGUGGUAACGGCCGGAAACUGAGAGCAACCUUAGCGAAGAUCGAGUAACCAACUCCGGUGGUAACGUUGGUCGUUGGCUGACAGGGGAGG